rnacentral:hammerhead_ribozyme from 1 species
AUCCAGCUGAAGAGUCUCAAUUAAGACGAAAAGCGUGUUCUGGAU